GAAAUGCGAUAAGUAAUGUGAAUUGCAGAAUUCAGUGAAUCAUCGAAUCUUUGAACGCAGCUUGCGCUCCUUGGUAUUCCUUGGAGCAUGCCUGUUUGAGUAUCAUGAAAUCUUCAAAGUAAAUCUUUUGUUAACUCAAUUGGUUUCUACUUUGGUAUUGGAGGUCUUUGCAGCUUCACACCUGCUCCUCUUUGUUCAUUAGCUGGAUCUCAGUGUUAUGCUUGGUUCCACUCGGCGUGAUAAGUUAUCUAUCGCUGAGGACACUGUAAAAGGUGGCCAAGGUAAAUGCAGAUGAACCGCUUCUAAUAGUCCAUUGACUUGGACAAUACUUUGAUGAUCUGAUCUCAAAUCAGGUAGGACUACCCGCUGAACUUAAGC
rnacentral:misc_RNA from 1 species